UACAGAGGUCUCAAGCGUUGUUCGGAUUCACUGGGCGUAAAGGGUGCGCAGGCGGUUGGGUGUGUCAGAUGUGAAAAUCCCGAGGCUUAACCUCGGAACUGCGUCUGAAACUACUCGACUAGAGUACUGGAGAGGGAAACGGAAUUCACGGUGUAGCAGUGAAAUGCGUAGAUAUCGUGAGGAACACCAGAGGCGAAGGCGGUUUCCUGGACAGUUUACUGACGCUCAGGCACGAAAGCAUGGGAGCAAAGGGAUUAG
rnacentral:rRNA from 1 species